rnacentral:rRNA from 1 species
AGUGAACGCUGGCGAUAGGCCUAACACAUGCAAGUCGAACGGCAGCACAGUAAGAGCUUGCUCUUACGGGUGGCGAGUGGCGGACGGGUGAGGAAUACAUCGGAAUCUACUUUUUCGUGGGGGAUAACGUAGGGAAACUUACGCUAAUACCGCAUACGACCUACGGGUGAAAGCAGGGGAUCUUCGGACCUUGCGCGAUUGAAUGAGCCGAUGUCGGAUUAGCUAGUUGGCGGGGUAAAGGCCCACCAAGGCGACGAUCCGUAGCUGGUCUGAGAGGAUGAUCAGCCACACUGGAACUGAGACACGGUCCAGACUCCUACGGGAGGCAGCAGUGGGGAAUAUUGGACAAUGGGCGCAAGCCUGAUCCAGCCAUACCGCGUGGGUGUAGAAGGCCUUCGGGUUGUAAAGCCCUUUUGUUGGGAAAGAAAAGCAGCAGGUUAAUACCCCGCUGUUCUGACGGUACCCAAAGAAUAAGCACCGGCUAACUUCGUG